GAAUAUUAGUCAAUGAUCGAAAGAUUGAUCUAGUUACUUAGAAAGAUGAUUUAUCAAUAUACAUCAGAAAGAAAGAACAUUGUUUUUUUUUUCAGAAAUUUGAAUAAAAUUAGAAAAAAGAUAAAAUUGAUUAAAAAUAAAAUCUAAAUUAUAGAGAAAAUAAUGAUAAUCUAUAAUAAUAGUCUUAACCAAAAAUAGUGCCAGCAGUUGCGGUUACACUAUGAAGGCUAACGUUAAUCAUUAAGGCUUAAAGGAUCCGUAGAACGAUAUAUAAUUUUAAAACUGAAAAGGACUAAGAAAUUAGGAUAAAAUAAAUAAAAAUAUAUUAGAGUUUUAAGUAUGAUUAAAGAAUAAUUAUAGUAAAGAUGAAAUAAUUAUGAUAAUAAUUAGACUGUUAAAGGUGAAAACAUUAAUCAAAAAUAAAACUGACGUUGAGGGAUGAAGGCAUAAGUAGCAAAACGGAUUCGAUACCCGAUUAGUUUAUGCAGUAAACGAUGAAUACUUCUAUAAAUAAAAUUUGUAGUAAGUGAAAACGUAAGUAUUCCGCCUGGUGAGUAUAUUCGCAAGGAUGAAAUCCAAGACAAUAGACGGUUACAGAUAAAGGCAGUGGAUUGUGUUAU
rnacentral:rRNA from 1 species